AUUGAACGCUGGCGGCAGGCUUAACACAUGCAAGUCGAGCGGGGGAAGGUAGCUUGCUACCGGACCUAGCGGCGGACGGGUGAGUAAUGCUUAGGAAUCUGCCUAUUAGUGGGGGACAACAUCUCGAAAGGGAUGCUAAUACCGCAUACGUCCUACGGGAGAAAGCAGGGGAUCUUCGGACCUUGCGCUAAUAGAUGAGCCUAAGUCGGAUUAGCUAGUUGGUGGGGUAAAGGCCUACCAAGGCGACGAUCUGUAGCGGGUCUGAGAGGAUGAUCCGCCAAACUGGGACUGAGACACGGCCCAGAGUCCAACGGGAGGCAGCAGUGGGGAAUAUUGGACAAUGGGGGGAACCCUGAUCCAGCCAUGCCGCGUGUGUGAAGAAGGCCUUAUGGUUGUAAAGCACUUUAAGCGAGGAGGAGGCUACUUUAGUUAAUACCUAGAGAUAGUGGACGUUACUCGCAGAAUAAGCACCGGCUAACUCUGUGCCAGCCGCCGCGGUAA
rnacentral:rRNA from 1 species